UACGUAGGGUGCGAGCGUUGUCCGGAAUUAUUGGGCGUAAAGAGCUUGUAGGCGGUUUGUCGCGUCUGCUGUGAAAAUCCGGGGCUCAACCCCGGACUUGCAGUGGGUACGGGCAGACUAGAGUGUGGUAGGGGAGACUGGAAUUCCUGGUGUAGCGGUGGAAUGCGCAGAUAUCAGGAGGAACACCGAUGGCGAAGGCAGAUCUCUGGGCCGUUACUGACGCUGAGGAGCGAAAGCGUGGGGAGCGAACAGG
rnacentral:rRNA from 1 species